CCUAAGCAAAUAGAAAUAUAAAGAAACCAAAUUAUUAGGCACAUUUGUGGGGAAAUCUUUAUUUCUUAGGUGAUUCAUAAUUCUAAACUGCAAUCCUUUAUGUCUUUGAUCGUACUAGGUGAAAUCUGUACAUCACACCAUGAAAUUGCUUCUCUACUAGUUACUUUUAUUCUGAUAUUCACAGGAAACGUAAGGACGCCACAUGGUGACCUCUUUUCUUCUCAUAGAGAACUCUUUGUCCUUUAUGUAGCCUAAGUGAUUCUCAAGCAGAUGACCAUCUUCCAGGUGGAGGAUCAGUCCCUAAAUAAGGAGGACACUGGCAAGAAUCUUGUCAGUAAUUAUUAAGAGAGAUACACCUCUGUGAUUGUCACAAGGGAGCCUAUUUCCUUUUCCUUUAUAAAGGUGGAAAAUAGCGUCAUUCUUUUAUCUGGUGGGUGAUAACCUUUUCUUGCCAUAUAAACUGGAAUAUUCAACUUUUGAAUGAGAAGUGGACUCCCCACCUUAAAAAUCUCUGCUGGAACGAAACCAGCACCAAGCACUUUUCCAAAUGAGAGUGCCUACUGGCAUUCAAAAGCUCUUUUUCAGUUGAAAGUUAAGCUACUUCAAGCUGAGGAAGUCUAAUCCUAUGAAACGCAAAUGUCCCAGGCCAAAAAUGCAACUACUUUCAGCUUUUCUACAUAUUUCUCAGGCUCUUUUCCUCUAAAAGAUCAUCAACCCAAGAACCUGUAUAAGAAAGAGCAAUAAAAUGCAGUUUGAUGAAGCAAAGCCAAGAUGGAAGAGUAGAGAAAGCACUCAUCAGAGACAUCUCAACAUUCUCCUCCAAACAACUUUAAAAUAAUAUCUCAAAUUGAAUUCUAGAAUGGCAGAACAAACAAAAAGUUAAGAGUUCUUCUAGCCCAAGACAAUUGAAAAGCUCAAAAUGAGAAAUCUAUGAUAUGGGAGUGUAUUGAAAACCAGUUUUGAAACUAGGAUGGUGGUAUCAGAAGUAGCAGUAGCUUUGGGAACUCAGGUUAGAGAUGUUAAGGGAACCUGGAACCUGGUCAGAAAGACACUACAGUGGAUCCCUGUGCUAUCUCCAGAUAAUUUUUGAGAACUUCACUGUGUAUUCUAUUUCUGGGACAUAUUUCAAGGGCAGGAAGGGUCACAUUAGGUCAAGACAGAAUGGAAGUUUUUAGGGGUAGUAUUAUUUGAGGUUACAAAAGAACAAAGAACCUGAGGAUCAGUACCAAUUACAAUUCUAAGGAAUCAGCAGCCCUUCCUACGUAAGGACCAGAGUGCAAACCAUGAAAGCAGUGACUCUACCUCUCCCCAGAUCAUACCACUUUGGAAGCAUGAAAACUCCUUAAGCUCCCCAAUUAGUUUUUGGAAAGAAAGAAAGAAAGAAAGAAAGAAAGAAAGAAAGAAAGAAAGAAAGAAAGAAAGAA